UUUGUUAUAAAAGCUCAUCGAAAGUACAAAGCAUCUCAAACAUAGUAAAAUUUACAUUAAUAUUUCGAGACCAUCAAACGACCACUACUGCCGCCAGAACGAGUCACCGACGCGUCGUUGUCGCCGCUCCCCUAUCGGAACCGGCUUGACCUUAUCAAUGACAGUCGGUAAGUCUUCGUGCACGUGCCCGUAAGGACCAACACCCUGCAGCCACAGUUGUCAUCGUUAAACCCUUGCAUAGAUUUGAAGCACCUAACUCCAAAUCUUGACACAUGACGAGAAACCCUAACCUCACCAAUGGGUACGUCUUCACACACUGAACAAAUAUCGUCGGAAAUCUGACAUAAAUCCAGGAAAAUGUGAGCAUCAGUGUCAAGUAUGGACUUGAAUCCCUGUGGGCUAGUUCGAUCGCAAGGAACCUAAUUUCCAUUUUUUUUCAUCUACCACUAUAUUCCCUCACAAAUUGACAGCUUCACAUAAAAAGAUCAAUUAAAAGCUUCAUGUUGUAUACUCUUCAAGCGCUGGGUUGUUGUACUGGCGCUCACGCACACGGUCUCUUGGGCCGGCCCAUUCACAUGAGAACUCGAUUCGCUCGAUCGCUCUAUAGUAGAUCACUCAAUCGACUGGUACAACUAAAAAAAUCGCUAGAACGGUCGUUCCAUUGACCGUUUAGCCAUGUUGCCUGUUGACUACUAAAACUUUUGUAAAAGAAUUAGCGAAUAAACAAAAGUUCACAAAUUCUAAAAAAGAGCAUGAAUUUGAAAAGUUCAAAAAUAUGUAAAAGAAAGAUUGCAAAAUUGAAAAAAAUAUCAAAUGUGGAAAAAGUUCAUCGAAUUUGAAAAAAAAAUCAGCGAUUUUGGAAAAAGAUUCAUCAAAUUUGAAAAAAUCUCAACGAUUUUGAAAAGAAACUUCAUUGAAAUUGAAAAAAGUUCAUCUAAUUUGAAAAAAGUUCUUCGAACUUCUAUAAAAAAUCACCAAAUUUGGAAAAAGCUCAUCCAAAUUGGAAAAAGUUCAUCGAUUUUGAAAAAGGUUCAUCCGAAUUUAAAAAGUUCAUGAAUUAUAAAAAUAAAAAAUAUAGAAAAAAGAAAAAGUUCACAAAUUUGAAGAAAGUUAAUGAGAUUCAAAAUAAGUUCGUGAAUUUGAAAAUUACACGAAUUUAAGAAGAGUUCAAGAAGUUUUUUAAGAAAGGAAAGAGAAAGAGAUUAGGCACAAACAUGUCACGGUUUAUUAGCGUUAAAGAUGUAUAAAAACAAAUUAGGCAUAACAUGUUGCUAGUUUAGUUGGUUACUGCCUUUCGUACUGAAAUAGGAGGUUAGUGGUUUGAAUCCUUAUCACUCACAAUUUUGUUUUUGCGAUCUAAAAGUCAGAAAAAGAAUAUGUGGGCCGAUUAACCAUACAAAGUCACAACAGUAACGCUCAAGUUGAAGACAAAUUUGUACAAGGAAAUACAAUUGAUGCAUUCAACCUUUCAAGUCCAGUUAAAAAAUUCACAGAUGCAACCUGGAAGGAGCAAUGUCAUGGAGUUGAAACAAUGAGUAAUAGAACAGGUAUUGGAGUCUUUAUGCAGGUACAGCAAGGAGAUCAAACAAUGAAAGCUACAAUUUCAGCAACUGUUGCACUAACACAAUCAGCAAUCCAAGCGGAAGCUCAGGGAAUAAAUCUAGCGGCAAUCAUUAUGAAUAGGUUGAACAUUAAGGAAGCAGUCAUACUAACAGACAACCUUAUUCUAGCUAAAGCGGCGGCAGCAAGAUCUCCUAUGUUUCAACCAGGACACUGGCAGAUUAGAAGUACUCUUGCAGAUUUUUGUAGCACCAUUGCUACCAAGCAAGUCCAGGUGUUCUAUGUACCUAGAACUCAAAACUGCGAGGAUCAUAAUGCAGCUACCAUAGCUAAAUCUCAAGAUUUGUGUACUGAGCCGAGUUCUAGGAUCAGAUGUUGUAAUGAAGUACAUCAAAAGUGGCAUUGUCCCCUGAUUCAGUUUAUUGCAGAUGUUAGUGAUAGGGGAUAUGUCAUUACAAAUAUAAACUGUAGCUGGCAGAAAUUUGAGCGCCUUGAGUGCCUUUGUCUUGUUCAAAAAAAAGAAAGAAUAUGUGGGCCGGCCCAGCUCGCGGGAGGGGGUGUGCGCUUUAGGUAUCCGAUAGCAAAAUGGGCUAUAACGAACACUUGAAGCGUCAAAUGGAGAUUGCCUGUUUACAUAUCCAAGAGUAUCUAAAAAUCAGCUACGUCUCUUGAUUAGUUCUUGGGGGAAAUGCUGGAUAGGGCAACAAUAGUGAUUUACCUUGAACUGUAUCUAUCGCCGUAGCCGUCGGCGAGUUUUUCUCUUAAGUUUUUUCAGCAGUCAAAAUGUAAAAAUUAAAUAAGCAUAGAUAGGGAAAUACCUAGACGAGAUUUUGCAUGUUCACGGUGGGAAGGGUAGGAAUCCACGAGAAAAGGUCCAAGCGAGAGAAAGAUGCGUCCAUCCAUCAGUCCCUUUCAGCCAGCAACAUAUUCCCAACACUAAAACCAUUAUUCAUAUUUCAGAAAAUCGCUGCCUCGUGCUACCCAGAGAGAGAAGUUUAGAGAGAGAAAGAGAAAUCAGACAGCGAUCGAGUUGAUGUGAAGGCACCUCCAUCUCGUAUCAUCUCGCCAUGAGCUGCGAAAUCAUCAAGAUUCCGCGUGCUUAUAUCGUGAUAAAUCUUAACAGGAAAGAUGAGUUUGUUGGAAGAAACUCGGACCCAACGUGCCUUGUUUCUUUAUGCUCUGAUUGCGACGUCGAUUACCAGUAAUCGUUCGUUGUUUAAUGAAGACGUCCUGGGAUAGAUAGCCUAGGGCUAAAAAAAGAGCAGAUGACCGGCGAUUCAGGCAGACCCAUCGACGUGGACGUCCUUCCACCCGACAUCAUCCCCACGCGACUCUUUCUCUGCAACUCCUAAACAUUCCAAAAAAUACUUUCAAACAGACCUCCGUUUUAUUCGGAUUUUGCCCGUUUAUGCAGAAAAACGGACAACCAUGCUCAAUUUUCGAUGUCCGCCGCGCUGUGUACUCAACCGGCCGCUCCGUCCCAACUUGUCUGCCGGCGCCUGUGCCAUCGUUGCUCGUGCCCUGGGUGCCCUCGCGCGACCCGUG
rnacentral:lncRNA from 1 species